GACGAACGCUGGCGGCGUGCUUAACACAUGCCAGUCGAACGGAAAGGCCCUGCUUUUGUGGGGUGCUCGAGUGGCGAACGGGUGAGUAACACGUGAGUAACCUGCCCUUGACUUUGGGAUAACUUCAGGAAACUGGGGCUAAUACCGGAUAGGAGCUCCUGCUGCAUGGUGGGGGUUGGAAAGUUUCGGCGGUUGGGGAUGGACUCGCGGCUUAUCAGCUUGUUGGUGGGGUAGUGGCUUACCAAGGCGUUGACGGGUAGCCGGCCUGAGAGGGUGACCGGCCACAUUGGGACUGAGAUACGGCCCAGACUCCUACGGGAGGCAGCAGUGGGGAAUAUUGCACAAUGGGCGGAAGCCUGAUGCAGCAACGCCGCGUGCGGGAUGACGGCCUUCGGGUUGUAAACCGCUUUCGCCUGUGACGAAGCGUGAGUGACGGUAAUGGGUAAAGAAGCACCGGCUAACUACGUG
rnacentral:rRNA from 1 species